CGCGGGCGCUACUCUCGGGCCGCCGUCCGCCGCGCCGCCUCCUCGGCCACUCAAAAGAUGAAAGAGAUGUUUAAAAUCAAUCAGUUCAAUUUAAUGGCAAGUGAGAUGAUUGCACUCAACAGAUCUUUACCAGAUGUUAGGUUAGAAGGGUGUAAAACAAAGGUGUAUCCAGAUAAUCUUCCUACAACAAGUGUGGUGAUUGUUUUCCACAAUGAGGCUUGGAGCACACUUCUGCGAACUGUCCAUAGUGUCAUUAAUCGCUCACCAAGACACAUGAUAGAAGAAAUUGUUCUAGUAGAUGAUGCCAGUGAAAGAGACUUUUUGAAAAGGCCUUUAGAGAGUUAUGUGAAAAAACUGAAAGUACCAGUUCAUGUAAUUCGAAUGGAACAACGUUCUGGAUUGAUUAGAGCUAGAUUAAAAGGAGCUGCUGUGUCUAAAGGCCAAGUGAUCACCUUCCUGGAUGCCCAUUGUGAGUGUACAGUGGGAUGGCUGGAGCCUCUCUUGGCCAGGAUCAAACAUGACAGGAGAACAGUGGUGUGUCCUAUCAUCGAUGUGAUCAGCGAUGAUACUUUUGAGUACAUGGCAGGCUCUGAUAUGACCUAUGGUGGGUUCAACUGGAAGCUCAAUUUUCGCUGGUAUCCUGUUCCCCAAAGAGAAAUGGACAGAAGGAAAGGUGAUCGGACUCUUCCUGUCAGAACACCUACCAUGGCAGGAGGCCUUUUUUCAAUAGACAGAGAUUACUUUCAGGAAAUUGGAACAUAUGAUGCUGGAAUGGAUAUUUGGGGAGGAGAAAACCUAGAAAUUUCCUUUAGGAUUUGGCAGUGUGGAGGAACUUUGGAAAUCGUUACAUGCUCACAUGUUGGACAUGUGUUUCGGAAAGCUACACCUUACACGUUUCCAGGAGGCACAGGGCAGAUUAUCAAUAAAAAUAACAGACGACUUGCAGAAGUGUGGAUGGAUGAAUUCAAGAAUUUCUUCUAUAUAAUUUCUCCAGGUGUUACAAAGGUAGAUUAUGGAGAUAUAUCAUCAAGAGUCGGUCUAAGACACAAACUACAAUGCAAACCUUUUUCUUGGUACCUAGAGAAUAUAUAUCCUGAUUCUCAAAUUCCACGUCACUAUUUCUCAUUGGGAGAGAUACGAAAUGUGGAAACAAAUCAGUGUCUAGAUAACAUGGCUAGAAAAGAGAAUGAAAAAGUUGGAAUUUUUAAUUGCCAUGGUAUGGGGGGUAAUCAGGUUUUCUCUUAUACUGCCAACAAAGAAAUUAGAACAGAUGACCUUUGCUUGGAUGUUUCCAAACUUAAUGGCCCAGUUACAAUGCUCAAAUGCCACCACCUAAAAGGCAACCAACUCUGGGAGUAUGACCCAGUGAAAUUAACCCUGCAGCAUGUGAACAGUAAUCAGUGCCUGGAU